AUUGAACGCUGGCGGCAGGCCUAACACAUGCAAGUCGAGCGGAUGAAGGGAGCUUGCUCCUGGAUUCAGCGGCGGACGGGUGAGUAAUGCCUAGGAAUCUGCCUGGCAGUGGGGGAUAACGUCCGGAAACGGGCGCUAAUACCGCAUACGUCCUGAGGGAGAAAGUGGGGGAUCUUCGGACCUCACGCUAUCAGGUGAGCCUAGGUCGGAUUAGCUAGUUGGUGGGGUAAAGGCCUACCAAGGCGACGAUCCGUAACUGGUCUGAGAGGAUGAUCAGUCACACUGGAACUGAGACACGGUCCAGACUCCUACGGGAGGCAGCAGUGGGGAAUAUUGGACAAUGGGCGAAAGCCUGAUCCAGCCAUGCCGCGUGUGUGAAGAAGGUCUUCGGAUUGUAAAGCACUUUAAGUUGGGAGGAAGGGCAGUAAGUUAAUACCUUGCUGUUUUGACGUUACCAACAGAAUAAGCACCGGCUAACUUCGUG
rnacentral:rRNA from 1 species